GACGAACGCUGGCGGCGUGCUUAACACAUGCAAGUCGAACGGAAAGGCCCUGCUUUUGUGGGGUGCUCGAGUGGCGAACGGGUGAGUAACACGUGAGUAACCUGCCCUUGACUUUGGGAUAACUUCAGAAAACUGGGGCUAAUACCGGAUAGGAGCUCCUGCUGCAUGGUGGGGGUUGGAAAGUUUCGGCGGUUGGGGAUGGACUCGCGGCUUAUCAGCUUGUUGGUGGGGUAGUGGCUUACCAAGGCUUUGACGGGUAGCCGGCCUGAGAGGGUGACCGGCCACAUUGGGACUGAGAUACGGCCCAGACUCCUACAGGAGGCAGCAGUGGGGAAUAUUGCACAAUGGGCGGAAGCCUGAUGCAGCAACGCCGCGUGCGGGAUGACGGCCUUCGGGUUGUAAACCGCUUUCGCCUGUGACGAAGCGUGAGUGACGGUAAUGGGUAAAGAAGCACCGGCUAACUACGUG
rnacentral:rRNA from 1 species